CUGAAGCAGAAGCUAUGGAGGGA
rnacentral:misc_RNA from 1 species